GCUCCUGUGUGUUGAUCUUCUACUUAAAACCCUCACCUUGAAGCUCCAAGAUCAACAAAACUAUAAAUACAAAACAACAGUAAAACCACACUAGAUUGAGAUGGGGAGGUUGCCUAUCUUUUUUUUAACUAGAACAAAACAGAGAGCCCUCCCCUGCCGAUUGGACAAGGGAGGCAAACUAUGAAGAACUUGGUUAACUCAAGAGAACUAUAGCUCGGAAAAAGUCAAGAGAAAAGUUCUAUACUUGAAUUGUCAAUAGUUUUUUUAGCCAUUGUGUUUUG
rnacentral:misc_RNA from 1 species